UACAGAGGGUGCAAGCGUUGUUCGGAUUCAUUGGGCGUAAAGGGUGCGUAGGCGGCGCGGUAAGUCGGGUGUGAAAUCUCGGGGCUUAACUCCGAAACUGCAUUCGAUACUGCCGUGCUUGAGGACUGGAGAGGAGACUGGAAUUUACGGUGUAGCGGUGAAAUGCGUAGAUAUCGUAAGGAAGACCAGUGGCGAAGGCGGGUCUCUGGACAGUUCCUGACGCUGAGGUGCGAAAGCGUGGGGAGCAAACAGG
rnacentral:rRNA from 1 species